rnacentral:rRNA from 1 species
CUACGGGGUGCUCCAGUGGGGAAUAUUGCACAAUGGGGGAAACCCUGAUGCAGCAACGCCGCGUGAAGGAUGAAGGAUUUCGGUUCGUAAACUUCUAUCAGCAGGGAAGAUAGUGACUGUACCUGACUAAGAAGCCCCGGCUAACUACGUGCCAGCAGCCGCGGUAAUACGUAGGGGGCAAGCGUUAUCCGGAAUUACUGGGUGUAAAGGGUGCGUAGGUGGCUUGUCAAGCCAGAUGUGAAAGCCCGGGGCUCAACCCCGGGACUGCAUUUGGAACUGGCAAGCUAGAAUACAGGAGAGGUAAGUGGAAUUCCUAGUGUAGCGGUGAAAUGCGUAGAUAUUAGGAGGAACACCAGUGGCGAAGGCGACUUACUGGACUGUUAUUGACACUGAGGCACGAAAGCGUGGGGAGCGAACAGGAUUAGAUACCCCAGUAGUC